AUCGCUACUGCCGAUGUUUUGUAUUGUAUACACCACUGCAUGUGUAAUGGGAUCGGUCUCUCACCUCUUGCCAUAUCUCCAUUUCAGGAACACAUGAGGACACUGGCACGAUUUGACACUGCCUGAUUGCUGGCUGUUUGUGUCAUGCAUUGCCUCCAUGUGAGCCGACGAGGUGACCCCCCCUUGGCGGCUGAAUCAAGAGGCUGAAAUGAAAUGAUAAAACCUGCAGGAUGUUCAGUACCAAUCAGGUUUUUCUCUGAAACCGUGGGCUGGGUGGUAUAGUAUGCUGUCUGUCUGGAAAGAUAUGGAGAUAAUUUGUCAUGAUAUUUGUGAACAUCUUAUCUCUGAAACCAUGGAUCUUUUUCCAUUGAUCAGUUGCUGCUGCUAUUAUAGAGACUGACACACAUGUCACAAGAUCGUCAUGCUCUUCAGGGAAAAAAAAAAGAAGUGAUGAAGCUGCUGCUCAGUACACUUUUAUGUGAGCUAUCUAAUGAAUAAUGUGGUCACAGAUUCACAAGAAACCGGUGAUCCCUUGUCUUCUCAAGCUCAACGGAAAUUGAGCUUCUGUUGGAAACUACGCUCCCCGUCUCUCCAGCCGAUUCGGCUUGGAAUUAUCCAAUGCUUCCAUGCGAAGGCCAAUGAUUUGGCACAUGGGAGCUGGUGGCCGAUGUCUUCGUCCUAACCAAACCAGAUGCUGCUGCUGCUGCAGCUCCCACAUGCUCCUGCUUUGCCCUACUCUGACUGACAUUUUGAUUGCCCAACGGCGGCCGGAUCAUCGCACAGCCACAGAUGCAGACUGCUCAUGCAAGAUGCAAGUGACUCGAGGUCUUUUGGUAAAGGUACGAGUAUAAAAAAAUGUACUUCAUGACAUUCAGCUGUUGCGUUUUUUUACCUUUAUUUUUUUGUUUUUGCCCAAAUUUUGGUUGAUACCUAACCUUGCCAUAACUAAGUUUAGACUAGUUGAGGCAUGGUGGCACAAGUGUGACUUAGAAAUAGUUGGCCACAAGUGUGGCAUACUUAGCUCCAAAUUUGAGAGUAUGACAUGUAUGUCCCAAACUAAGAAAGUAUGGCACGACACAAA